ACAGCAUAGAGAGUACAAAAGCCAGCAGUGACAAGGCAGCACAUUUCAAUGAAAACACUUACAACACAUUUCAAUGAAAGGUUUGAAAACUGCAGCAAAUCAUUUCAACAAGAUUAAAAAGGAAACGGAUGUUGUUCACACAAGUGGUGAUAUUUUGAACAAGCGACCUAGUUAUUCGCAUGUGAAAAAAAAGCAAUGGAAAAUAUGACAAACAUCAAGUGACCUUUAUAUAUUUUUUCUGUCUCUAGAUGUGUUGCUUUUACAUUUUAUGAAUAUUUUUUUUGGAUGUUCAUAUAUACUUUAAUAAAAUCAUAAUACAAUGUU